rnacentral:rRNA from 1 species
UACGGAGGGUGCAAGCGUUAUCCGGAUUCACUGGGUUUAAAGGGUGCGUAGGUGGGCAGGUAAGUCAGUGGUGAAAUCUCCGGGCUUAACUCGGAAACUGCCAUUGAUACUAUCUGUCUUGAAUACCGUGGAGGUUAGCGGAAUAUGUCAUGUAGCGGUGAAAUGCUUAGAUAUGACAUAGAACACCAAUUGCGAAGGCGGCUGGCUACACGAAUAUUGACGCUGAUGCACGAAAGCGUGGGGAUCAAACAGG